rnacentral:tRNA from 1 species
GGAAAUGUGCCCGAGACAAAAGGACCACUUUGAUAGAGUGACACACAGAGAACAUAAACCUCUCAUUUCCU